rnacentral:rRNA from 1 species
UACGUAGGGUGCGAGCGUUUGUCCGGAAUUAUUGGGCGUAAAGAGCUUGUAGGCGGUUUGUCGCGUCUGCCGUGAAAAUCCGGGGCUCAACCCCGGACUUGCGGUGGUACGGGCAUCACUGGAGUUCGGCAGGGGAGACUGGAAUUCCUGGUGUAGCGGUGAAAUGCGCAGAUAUCAGGAGGAACACCGGUGGCGAAGGCGGCUCUCUGGGCCUUACCUGACGCUGAGGAGCGAAAGCGUGGGUAGCGAACAGG